UACGUAGGGUCCGAGCGUUUGUCCGGAAUUACUGGGCGUAAAGAGCUCGUAGGUGGUUUGUCGCGUUGUCCGUGAAAACUCACAGCUCAACUGUGGGCGUGCGGGCGAUACGGGCAGACUGGAGUACUGCAGGGGAGACUGGAAUUCCUGGUGUAGCGGUGGAAUGCGCAGAUAUCAGGAGGAACACCGGUGGCGAAGGCGGGUCUCUGGGCAGUAACUGACGCUGGAGGAGCGAAAGCGUGGGGAGCGAACAGGA
rnacentral:rRNA from 1 species